UGUUCAGGAAGAAACCUAGCGA
rnacentral:siRNA from 1 species